AGGGUCCCCCUUCGUCCAUUGGUGCCUCUCUGGGGGCACCCAGCUGGAGCUGAUCCUGCUGCUGUAGCACUCAAAUUAUUUGUUUUUAUAAGACUCAAUGCAUGAGAGUCUGUUUCAGGAAACUGAGGGCUUGAACUUCAGAGCGAACUAACAUCGGAUGCCUGGACGGAUCAGUAAGUUAUUACCCAGUGUGGCAGGUACACCCGCCCUGAUUGAGAGCGAAACUUCUCAGCCUGUGAAAAGAGAAAAAAACCUAGAAGCUGUGGUUUGGGCGUUGAGCCGCACCACCUGCAUGAUGGAGUCAGGGUACGACCACCAGAUCAGAUUUGACUAGGGUAUAAAUGGAGCCCCGCGGGGGUGAACAAAUUGAGCCGGUCCUCCUCGGAGCAGCAGGUCUGCAGUCAAAGACUCUCCCCUUGGGUCAGGAUGCCACCGAAGGUAGCUCCUGCAGGUUGAAAGCCCUCAUCUUUUAGGAAAGACAAUUUUGUGUCAUCAAGGAAAAGUAUUUUGGGAGUGAGGAACUGAAGAGGAUUUAUCCAACUUAGUAUGCACAGUCCUGAGGAAGAUGAAUAGCUCUCUGUUUUUCAGAACAAGGCAAAAUUCAAGUAAAGCUAUUAAUUUUCAACAACUGACAGAGACAGUGAAACUUCAAAUGUUUAUAAAUGGCAUGGAUGGUUAAAGAAAAGAAACUACAAGAGUCAAACCUAAAUACUUUAUUUAGCAGACAUUUUGCAGAGCCUUUUUCUGUGUCAUAGAUUCUCUCCGACUUGUGUUACAUUCUUCUGGUAACUUUUUUAACCACUCUGGUUUUUGAACACCUACAAGAGUACCCUGCAGGUUCCAUCUUUCUCUUCUAAAAAUUAUUUUCCUUUUACUUUUUUUUGGAGAAUCUCUUGCCAUGCUUUUUUCACCUCUUUGGUGGAUCUGAUGCCAUCUUUCACAGUCCUUAAAGUCAAUGACUCAGCAAUAGACUAAUUUUCUCUUUCCCUCCUUUCUUUACCCUAACAUUUUUUCCUUUACGCUGGACCCCAUAUAUGCAUUACAGCAUGAUUUUGAUGCACUGAAUCUUGUAUUUUAAAAUGACAUUGUAUAUCCUUGUUAACUUUGUGAAAGUUUCUGAUUGAGAUUCCUGAGAUAAAAUUAUUAAUGACUCUAGGUUGAGGCCAAACAUGACUGUUACCAACUGCUCUGGCUUGAUGAUGGAUAUGAACGAAACCAUAACACACAUACACCUGUGUAUUACCUGCUGUUAUUCAAAGCAUUUCCAGAUAAGCUGGAAAAGACUAUUAUUGAAGUGUAUCAUGUGGCUGAAACCCACAGUUGGCUUGAUAGUUCAAAACCAGAGUGAAUCUGUUUUUUAUAAGUGUGGCAGGUGCACCUGCCCCGAUAAAGGCCGAAACUUCUUGAGCGCUGGAAGGACAGAGUUAAACUAGAAGCCACGGUUUGGGGGUCGAGCCGGCCAGCAGAGUGCCCCAAGUCAUGCGCUCCAGCUACCUGAGCCCACCAAAAAACACCUCAACCAGUGAAACCCCUCAGUUAAGAGAAGUUUCCAGACCACUGACCAUAUAUGACCAUGAGCCCCGAUCCGACCUAGGGUAUAAAUGGAGCCCUGCUGGAAGACCCCUUUAAGCCAGUCUUCCUCAGAGCAGCAGGUCUGCAGUUGGGGACUCUCCCUGUGGGUCGGGACACCAUCCAUGGAAACUCCUGCAGGUUGAGAGCCUCGCCUUAUCGGUGAGUGAUUGCACAUUUUGAGUCAUCAUUCUAAGCUUAGAUUUGGGCUUAGUUUGUGUAGUGAUGGUUCCCAGCUGACAUCCUGAACCUGUAAAUAAAUUGCGUUGUUUGCAGUGUUUACAACCUAAUAUUCCUUUUUAAUCUGGCUAUUAUAUCUCAAUACAACAUAACAUUCCUGUUCAC